UACGUAGGUGGCAAGCGUUUGUCCGGAAUUAUUGGGCGUAAAGCGCGCGCAGGCGGUUCUUUAAGUCUGAUGUGAAAGCCCACGGCUCAACCGUGGAGGGUCAUUGGAAACUGGAGAACUUGAGUACAGAAGAGGAAAGCGGAAUUCCACGUGUAGCGGUGAAAUGCGUAGAGAUGUGGAGGAACACCAGUGGCGAAGGCGGCUUUCUGGUCUGUAACUGACGCUGAGGCGCGAAAGCGUGGGAGCAAACAGG
rnacentral:rRNA from 1 species